rnacentral:lncRNA from 1 species
GGCAGGUUCGGUGGCGCUCGGGUCGGGCCGCCCCGUCCGCGCUGAGUCCGGUCCCUCUGGUGAGGGGCUGCGGUGAAGCCCCAGGCUCUCGGCCUCUGCUGCAGACUCGCGGGCCCAGCCUGCCUCCAACUAGCUUCCAAGCUAGGGCCGGGCACCAGCCUUGCAUCACCUCGGGACAGGCAGCGUGAAUGCUGAGGACAGAAGAGUUUGAUGACACAGCAUUGAAGUUCUUUGUUUGGAGUACGCGUUAUGAACCCUUUGUGGAGCAUGUCUUCGGGCUCCGUUCGCAAACGAGCUGAAGGUGAAGAGAAGACAUUAGCAGGGGAUGUGAAAACCAGUCCUCCACGAAGUGCACCUAAAAAGCAGCUACCUUCUAUUCCCAAAAAUGCUCUGCCCAUAUCGAAGCCUACAUCACCUGCCCCAGCAGCGCAGUCAACAAAUGGCACCCAUGCCUCUUACGGACCCUUCUACCUGGAAUAUUCACUCCUUGCAGAAUUCACAAUGGUAGUGAAGCAGAAGCUGCCAGGAGUCUACGUACAGCCAUCUUACCGCUCUGCGUUAGUGUGGUUUGGAGUAAUAUUCAUACGGCACGGGCUGUACCAGGAUGGCGUGUUCAAGUUUA